rnacentral:rRNA from 1 species
AUGGUGUUGCUUGACAUUAGGGGUAUGUUGCAGUCCAUGGGCAAAGACAUAGCUGAUUUCGCUCUUCCAAGCAUUGAUGAUGCGUUCGACCCAACCGAGGGCGAGGCCAGAGAGGUAGAGGAAUCCACCGUCGAUUUUGACACCAACGACGCUAAAUUGGCAUCAUCGCUAAACUUGGAGCAGAGGGCUGCAUACGAUGAGAUACUAGCUGCAGUUGAACGUGGUGAUGGGGGGGUGUUCUUUGUUGAUGGCCCGGGAGGUACAGGGAAGACCUUCCUGUACAAGGCGCUACUCGCCAAGGUUCAAAGCGAGGGAAACAUCGCUAUCGCUACCGUGACGUCAGGCGUCGUCGCUUCUAUCGUGCCUGGAGGUAGGACUGCCCACUCGAGGUUCAAGAUCCCAUUGAGCUGCGACGACGGCGCCUCAUGCACCUUCACGAAGCAGAGUUGUACCGCCAAGCUACUGAGGAUGGCCUCAUUGAUACUAUGGGACGAGGCCACCAUGACUAAGCGACAGGCGGUCGAGGCACUGGACAACAGCAUGCGCGACAUCAUGGGAAGACGAGACCGACCCUUUGGAGGUAAAACUGUUGUGUUUGGCGGGGAUUUCAGGCAGGUUCUUCCGGUCGUCAGGAGGGGAUCCCGGGGUCAGAUAAUCGAUGCAACCCUCCGAAGUUCACAUCUCUGGAAGGGUAUGCGCCAGCUAAGGCUCGUCACCAACAUGAGGGCUCAUAAUGACACCUGGUUUGCGGAUUACUUGCUAAGGGUAGGCAAUGGCAUCGAGGAAGUUGACGAUCAAGGAAACAUAUGA